GGGAAAUUCCNUGAUUAAGAAAUACCACCUAGGGAUAGGGGGUAGGACGAUCAAUUGUUUUCGCUUCCAUUUAUAAUGCAUUAUUAAUUACAAGGGGAGGCUAGGGAUAACAAGCCAGUAAUUAGUAAUAGGCUCUUUUCGUCGAGGGAUCAAGUUUAGGGUAUACUAAGAAAGUUUGCAUGACAAUAUGAUGAUAAAUCGAAUCUAAUAAGAAUAGUAGAUUUAUGAGAGUGAUUGGGUGAAAUCUAAAUCCUAGCAACAAAUCCAUCUCAUUUUAUCAACAUCAUUCAUCCACUUUUGUGUUUAACCUCAAUUGACAAAUUGCAUUCAUGUUUAUUUUUCCGCACUUU
rnacentral:lncRNA from 1 species